GAUGAACGCUAGCGGCAGGCUUAAUACAUGCAAGUCGAGGGGCAGCAUGAGUGUAGCAAUACAUUUGAUGGCGACCGGCAAACGGGUGCGGAACACGUACAGAACCUUCCUUCGAGCGGGGAAUAGCCCAGAGAAAUUUGGAUUAAUACCCCAUAGUACAACGGAGUGGCAUCACUUUGUUGUUAAAGAUUAUCACUUGAAGAUGGCUGUGCGGCUGAUUAGGUAGUUGGCGGGGUAACGGCCCACCAAGCCUGCGAUCAGUAACUGGUGUGAGAGCACGACCAGUCACACGGGCACUGAGACACGGGCCCGACUCCUACGGGAGGCAGCAGUAAGGAAUAUUGGUCAAUGGACGAAAGUCUGAACCAGCCAUGCCGCGUGGAGGAUGAAGGUCCUCUGGAUUGUAAACUUCUUUUAUAUGGGACGAAAAAAGGCUUUUCUAAGUCGUCUGACGGUACCAUAUGAAUAAGCACCGGCUA
rnacentral:rRNA from 1 species